UUGCACAUUAGUCUUCACUGGUUCCAAUAAUAAUUCAACCAGUUUUUCAUCCUCCAGAACUGCAAUUCUUUGCAUGGUACAUAUGGAUGAGUUUAUAAGUAUAAUGGUGGAAACAGGGUCUUUUAAAAUUGUAUUACUGCUCUCUUCAGGUAACAACUCUUCUGAAUCUACCGACUUCAUGGAUGAGUUUAUAAGUAUAAUGGUGGAAACGGGGUCUUUUAAAAUUGCAUUACUGCUCUCUUCAGGUAACAACUCUUCUGAAUCUACCAACUUCACCUGUUCUUUCACAAUGUCAUUAGUUUUAGAUUCAUUUGAUUCUGUUUUAUCCUCGGAGAUAACUGAACGCAGUGAAUGCAGUAACCAGGGUUCCUCAACAGGCUGGUAAUUCUCAGA
rnacentral:lncRNA from 1 species